AUUUCCUCAUUGGCGAUUCAUUAAUGUGCUUACGUGAUCGAGAUUUCAGAGACAUUCCAUCGAACCGACUCUCCAAAUGGCAGCAUAUCCAACAGCUUAAACAACAUUUUUGGAACCGCUGGCAUAAGGAGUAUUUGAACGAGCUAACCAACCGCAAUAAAUGGAGCAAGGGUGGACACAGCAUCCAAAAGGGCACAAUCGUCAUCCUCAGAGAGGACAACGUUCCCUCCAUGCAUUGGCCUCUGGGCCGAGUUAUCAAGGUUCAUCCAGGCGCCGAUGGUGUCAUCCGGACAGCUACAGUUCAGACGGCAAAGAGCAUUUUGGAUCGGGGCGUCAAAAGGCUUGUCCCACUGCCAAUUCAACCCGAUCUCGAGAAACCCGAACAACUAGCCACCGAGCCGAAAUAAGAUGGGAACUUCAACCACACCUCGCUAGUUUGAUCGGUACCCUCUCAACGGGGGGAGAAUGUUACGCCAUGCGGCUUACCAUAGGUCAUAUUCUUAACUAUCGAUCGCGGCACUAUAAUGUCGCAGACGGAUCGUCGCGUCUGCCCGGCAAACAAACAUUGUAGUGGCAAGCGCAUGGUUCAUUAAGCAGGGCGACUUCCAGAAACGUCGACUCGUGGCCCGUAUUUUACCUCGCAGUAAAAGAAUGUGGCGUGAUCCGAACGUAGUGGGGGUCGCCUUCCAGAAAAAACGAAAAAAAUCGAAAGGCGUUCAGAACUUUUCGAGAAGUCGAACCGUCAACACAUGUGGCGCUUGGCCAUGAAUCGCUGCAUUAGGUUUUCGUAAUCCCCGAAAACCAGACAAACCACUAUGGAAGUGCGGAGGUUCCCUGAUAUCGGCUAGGCAUGUUUUGACCGCAGCACAUUGUGCACAUAUGGAUGGAAUAGAAAACAUACACAAUCAUAAUAUUGCCAUUCUUAGAUUGGUGGAGGAGGUGCCAUUUUCGAGGUACGUAUAUCCCAUUUGUACGAAAGAGCCCCUACGAAAGAGCAACUUCGUCGGCUAUAACCCCCUUGUUGCUGGAUCGGGAGCAUUAAGAUAUAG